rnacentral:lncRNA from 1 species
AGGGUCAGACACACUAGUCAGGAAAGGUAAAUAUCAUUAAUGACCAAUUAAUAUGUUUAAUGGCCAUAUUAAAUGCAAAUAUACGUUAUUUAUGAGUGAUUGACAGAUCAUAUUGCACAAGAAUAUGAUAUUAAUGGACAAUUAACAGGUAUUAUUAAAUUUGAUUGUCUAGCUUAAUGAUUAAUCAAUGUGUUUGGCUACCGCAAA